GAUGAACGCUGGCGGCGUGCCUAAUACAUGCAAGUCGAACGAACACACAAUGAGCUUGCGCCUCUAACGGUAGCGGCUGACGGGUGGGUAACACGUGCAUAACCUACCUAUAAUUCGUGGGGAACUUCGUAAAACCGGAUCUAAUACUAGAUAAUAUGUUGUACGGCAGAGAGCAGUAGUUCAUCACGCUUUUGCUGUCUGUUAGAGAUGGUGUCGCGCCGGAUUAGCUAGUUGGUAAGGUAACGGCACACCAAGGCAACGAUGCGUAGCCGACCUGAGAGGGUGAUCGGCCACACUGGAACUGAGACACGGUCCAGACUCCUACGGGAGGCAGCAGUGGGGAAUAUUGGGCAAUGGGCGCAAGCCUGACGCAGCCAUGCCGCGUGAGUGAUGAAGGCCUUCGGAUCGUAAAACCCUGUUGUUGGGAAAGAAAAACAGUGUAAGAAAACCUCGCUGUCCUGACGGUACCCAAUGAGAAAGCACCGGCUAACUUCGUG
rnacentral:rRNA from 1 species